AAGUAAAAAUUAAAAAAUAUAUUUGACAAUACCCAGUACCAAUUUAUUGUUUGUUGUUGACAUUAACAUUUUCUUUAAGAGUAUUUCUUCAUCUGUAAAAUGAGGAUAAAAAUUGUAAAAUUGUACCUACUUCCAGCCUCAUAGAAUUGUUUUGAUGAUUACAUCAGAAAGCUUGUAAAAACCUUAGGCCUGUUUCCUGACAUAUACUAAAUGCCCCAUGUGCUAACUGAGGAUGAUCAUUGUAGGAAAAUUUCAUAGACUAUGAGGGAAAGCCAUGCCUAAAAUAAUCUCCAGCUUAUUAAGAAGUGCAUUCCUUUUUGUUUCUUUGUUUUAUCUUAGAUUGAGUCUCACUGUAUUGCCAGUCUGGAGUGCAGUGGCGCAAUCUCAGCUCACUGCAACCUCCACCUCCUGGGUUCAAGCGAUCCUCCUGCCUCAGCCUCCUGAGUAGCUGGGACUACAGGAGCACACCACCACGCCCAGCUAAUUUUUGUGUUUUUAGUAGAGGCGGGGUUUCACCAUGUUGGGCAGGAUGGUCUCAAACUCCUGACCUCAGGUGAUCCACCCGCCUCAACCUCCCAGAGUGCUGGGAUUACAGGCGUGAGCUAUCCGUGCCCAGUCAAUUUUUGUAUUUUUAGUAGAGAUGAGGUUUCACCAUAUUGGUCAGGCUGGUCUUGAACCCCUGACCUCAGGUGAUUCACCCGCCUCAGCCUCCCAAAGUGCUGGGAUUCCAGAUGUGAGCCAGCGCACCCAGCCUGGCCAUCUUUUAUAAAAAGAUGAAGAUGUCAGAAUUCCCUAAUAAGAUUCUGGCUCUGUUACCCAGACUGGAGUGCAAUGCAUGGCAUGAUCUCAGCACACUGCAACCUCCAUCUCCUGGGCUCAAGCCAUCCUCCCA
rnacentral:lncRNA from 1 species